rnacentral:rRNA from 1 species
UGAGUACGAGCUGCUACGGCAGCGAAGUGGGUGAUGUCAAGCUUCCAAGAAAAGCCCUAUACCCGUUAAGGCAUGACGGCCUGUACCCGAAACCGACACAGGUGGGGUGGUAGAGAGUACCGAGGGGCGCGAGAUAACUCUCUCUAAGGAACUCGGCAAAAUGGCCCCGUAACUUCGGGAGAAGGGGUGCCACCGCAAGGUGGUCGCAGUGAAGAGGCCCAGGCGACUGUUUACCAAAAACACAGGUCUCCGCUAAGUCGCAAGACGAUGUAUGGGGGCUGACGCCUGCCCAGUGCCGGAAGGUUAAGGAAGCUGGUCAGCGCAAGCGAAGCUAGCGACUGAAGCCCCGGUGAACGGCGGCCGUAACUAUAACGGUCCUAAGGUAGCGAAAUUCCUUGUCGGGUAAGUUCCGACCCGCACGAAAGGCGUAACGAUCUGGGCGCUGUCUCGGAGAGAGGCUCGGCGAAAUAGAAUUGUCUGUGAAGAUGCGGACUACGUGCACCCGGACAGAAAGACCCUAUGAAGCUCUACUGUAGCUUGGUAUUGUGCCCGGGCUCUGAAUGCGCAGGAUAGGUGGGAGGCUUUGAUCCAUUGCUUGUGGGUGAUGGUGAGCCACUGGUGAGAUACCACUCUUUCAGAGCUAGGGUUCUAACGGUCACCCGUUAUCCGGGGACCGGACAGUAUCAAGUGGGCAGUUUGAUUGGGGCGGUCGCCUCCUAAAAGGUAACGGAGGCGCGCAAAGGUUCCCUCAGGCUGGGAAAUCAGCCGACGAGUGUAAAGGCAGAAGGGAGCUUGACUGUGAGACCUACAAGUCGAACAGGGACGAAAGUCGGCCUUAGUGAUCCGACGGUUCUGAGUGGAAGGGCCGUCGCUCAACGGAUAAAAGUUACUCUAAGGGUAACAGGCUGAUCUCCCCCAAGAGUUCACAUCGACGGGGAGGUUUGGCACCUCGAUGUCGGCUCAUCGCAACCUGGGGCUGAAGUCGGUCCCAAGGGUUGGGCUGUUCGCCCAUUAAAGCGGUACGCGAGCUGGGUUCAGAACGUCGUGAGACAGUUCGGUCCAUAUCCGGUGCACGCGCAGGAACAUUGAGAGGAUUUCUCCCUAGUACGAGAGGACCGGGAGGAACGCACCUCUGGUGUACCAGUUAUCGUGCCAACGGUAAACGCUGGGUAGCCAUGUGCGGAGCGGAUAACCGCUGAAAGCAUCUAAGUGGGAAGCCCACCUCAAGAUGAGUGUUCCCAUGACAUAAGCCAGUAAGGUCACGGGAAGAACACCCGUUGAUAGGCUCUACGUGGAAGCGUGGCAACACGUGAAGCGGAGGAGUACUAAUAGACCGAGGGCUUGACC